CCAGCCAGGACCAGCCAUGGGUGGACCAGGACGAAGGACACCACACAGAGCUGGCACACAUGGGCACACCUGAGUCAGGGUGGGGAAGGCUCAAGAAUAGAAGAAAGGAACUGUACCAGAAAGGAUACUGGGCACCCAGCACCACCCAGCCUUGCACAGAGUAAAUUAUGGCCCCCUUUCACUUAUCGCAACUUCUCUCCUUGCUUAUCUCUUUGCAGUCAGUGGUUGGGUCCCUCGAAAGAUAGCAAGAUCUCCAUUGAUAAGCCUCUCUUGACAUCUCUUCCUCAUUUAUUUUCUGAGUGGAGACCUUCUUAAUACACACGCAUGCUUGUGUGUGUGUUUAUCUAUCUGACAAAUGAGGCUUGAAAACCAGGAGGGAUCUGCAUGAGAACUUU
rnacentral:lncRNA from 1 species